GUCGAGGGGCAGCAUUUCAGUUUGCUUGCAAACUGGAGAUGGCGACCGGCGCACGGGUGAGUAACACGUAUCCAACCUGCCGAUAACUCGGGGAUAGCCUUUCGAAAGAAAGAUUAAUACCCGAUGGUAUAAUCAGACCGCAUGGUCUUGUUAUUAAAGAAUUUCGGUUAUCGAUGGGGAUGCGUUCCAUUAGGCAGUUGGUGAGGUAACGGCUCACCAAACCUUCGAUGGAUAGGGGUUCUGAGAGGAAGGUCCCCCACAUUGGAACUGAGACACGGUCCAAACUCCUACGGGAGGCAGCAGUGAGGAAUAUUGGUCAAUGGGCGCAGGCCUGAACCAGCCAAGUASCGUGAAGGAUGACUGCCCUAUGGGUUGUAAACUUCUUUUAUAUGGGAAUAAAGUUUUCCACGUGUGGAAUUUUGUAUGUACCAUAUGAAUAAGGAUCGGCUAACUCCGUGCCAGCAGCCGCGGUAAUACGGAGGAUCCGAGCGUUAUCCGGAUUUAUUGGGUUUAAAGGGAGCGUAGGUGGACAGUUAAGUCAGUUGUGAAAGUUUGCGGCUCAACCGUAAAAUUGCAGUUGAUACUGGCUGUCUUGAGUACAGUAGAGGUGGGCGGAAUUCGUGGUGUAGCGGUGAAAUGCUUAGAUAUCACGAACAACUCCGAUUGCGAAGGCAGCUCACUGGACUGCAACUGACACUGAUGCUCGAAAGUGUGGGUAUCAAACAGGAUUAGAUACCCUGGUAGUCCACACARUAAACGAUGAAUACUCGCUGUUUGCGAUAUACAGUAAGCGGCC
rnacentral:rRNA from 1 species